rnacentral:rRNA from 1 species
UCCUACGGGGGGCUGCAGUGGGGAAUCUUGGACAAUGGGCGCAAGCCUGAUCCAGCCAUGCCGCGUGGAUGAUGAAGGCCCUAGGGUUGUAAAAUCCUUUCGUUGGGGACGAUAAUGACGGUACCCAAAGAAGAAGCUCCGGCUAACUUCGUGCCAGCAGCCGCGGUAAUACGAAGGGGGCUAGCGUUGUUCGGAUUUACUGGGCGUAAAGCGCGUGUAGGCGGGCUGGUAAGUUGGGGGUGAAAUCCCGAGGCUUAACCUCGGAACUGCCUCCAAAACUGUCAGCCUGGAGCAAAGAAGAGGCGAGUGGAAUUGCGAGUGUAGAGGUGAAAUUCGUAGAUAUUCGCAGGAACACCAGUGGCGAAGGCGACUCGCUGGUCUUUUGCUGACGCUGAGACGCGAAAGCGUGGGGAGCAAACAGGAUUAGAUACCCCAGUAGUCG